CCUAAUAGCAUUUGAGUAUUAUGAGAAUCUGAUUCAAAUUGUAAGGCAUUUAUUAGAAGAUUCAUAAUACGGGGUUUAAGUUCUCCCAUAACAAUGUGUCCUUUUGUACUACAACUAGAUGGAAUCAGUUCUUUGAUAGCCAAAUCCUAAAAUAAAUAGAAAAAUAUUAAUUUAAACAAAUAUUUUAGUAAAUUUAAAUACUUAUUAAAAUUACUUUAAAGUGUAACGGUAAUGAAAGUAUGGAAAGUAAUAAAUGUAUUGCUGAUUUUCUUAAUUCAUUCUUAUGGAUGUUAUUUGAUCUGCUUAUAAAAUUUAGAAAUUUAAAUGUAUUUAAAUUUAAAUUUAAUGAAUUUAUGUAUAGCUUAUUACUUGAGUUUAAGUUCUCUUUCAGGUAAAACGAGUUCUAACGUUUCAAUAAUGUGUGGUAUAAGUACAUUGAUUCCACUUAAAUCCAAACGUAAAAGAUUAGGCGAAUUUAAUAAAAUACUUGCAAUUGUUUCAUCACAUUCAUUCACCUUAUUAAAAUUUGUAUUAAUGUUAUUAUUUUUAAAAUAAUAAAAUAAAAACAAAAUUAUUAAAAUGGUUAAUAUUUAUAAAUAAAUAUAUAAAUAAAUUAAUGAGUAGUUUUACAAUGUGAAUGUGAUAUACCUGAUGAUGAAUUUUUAAUUCGAAACCAGUCAUAUAAUACACUUAUCAUAAUACUUCAGGCGAUGCAUUCACUCAUUUAUUUUUUAUUUAUACAUUUAUUUUUAAAAAUAACAAAGAUUAUAAUUUUUUAUACUUCAUUAGAAUGCAAUCCUUCGUAAAGUGCCAUAUAAAAUCUAGCCAAAUAUACAGGUAAAAUUUCUUCAGACGUUUUCUUGGAACAAAAUAUUCUACACAAUGUUCCUAUUGCUUCGGCACGUCCAGGCAUAUAGCGAUCAUAAUGAAGAGCAUUUGCAGAACUAGAAGUUAUGGAAUCAAUACUAUCGGAGACAUUGUCUGUAAGUGAGUUUGGUUGAGAUGCUGAUGCAGUACUGCCACCUCCCAUACUACUAUAUCCACCACCAGAACCACCACUUCUUAUACUGGUUGUAUCAAACAUCACUGAACUUGGUCGUUUGCACAUUCUGUUGUUAUCUGCUAAGUAUGUAUAAAUAUAUAUAUUUUUUUAUUUAUUAGAAUAUAAAGUGGCAAUUACAAAAACAAAGACUUAGAUAAUUGAUUAACUUAAUACAAACAUAGUGAAACAGUACUAAAUGUAAGAGAUUAUAACAAGUUAAUAGUUUAAAAGGUCAAACCAGGUUCUCCAGCCUAAGCAUUCUAUGUAAUGGAUGAUUAUGGUUAUACGAAGUUGAGUGAGCUAGAAUAUAAAAAAGAAUUUGAUUCUUAGUGUUGUGUGAGGGAACUUUAAAAGGCACACUAGAGAUAAGGUCGGGAGCAUCUAGUAAAUUGUUGAAAAGACCGUAAAGAAACCGAAAUCCUGCCUCGUUCCAGCGUAGACAGAAAAGGUAAAUUCAGAAUACUAGAAAUAAAGGAGUAGUCAUGAUUAGGAUGUCAAAUUAAGUUUAAAAGCAACAUAUAAUUUGUGUUGAACACUCUAGACUCGCACUUGAUCCUUGGCAAAGUAAGGGUGCUAAAUAAUAGUACCAUACUCUAUAAUUGGCUGGGUAAGAGUACAAUACAAAGAACGAAGAGAAUUAGCUGACUUGAAGAGCCCGGUGUAACUCUUAACAAAACCUAAGUGUUUAGACCUUUAGUGUUCUACCAGUGACAACAUCUAAAGGAGAAAAAGCAAGAAUAAUGAAUAUCAAGGUCUUUAAUAACGAAAACACGCUCUAGCUAUAUACUAUUAAGGGUGUAUGAAUAGUGCAUCGGGUUUUUAGACCUAAUAAAGGAAAUACCUUUGCAUUUGUCAACAUUUAAAGAGAUGCCUAGUUGGGAAACCCACAAAUCAAAUUGAAUAAGUUCGUCAUGUAGUAUAAGGCAGUCAGCAGGAGUUUUGAUUUUAUAAAAUAUUUUUAUAUCGUUGGCAUAUAGUAGGAAUUAAGCUUUAUUCAAGCUUUAUUUUGGCAAUGUGAGGUAACAUAGAGAUAGGCCUGUAAUUGGUAACAGAGGAUGGAUCACCCAAUUUAAAGACUAUUCUUCUUUUUUGGUAUUUAUAAUAAGUGUACUCAUGUUAAAUAAUAAUACACUAUUAUUUUGUUUAAAACUUACAUGUAGUAGAAGAUUUAGAUUUAUUAAUAUCAACCCCAAUUAAUGCUGCUUCGAAUAACCAUUCACCAAAAAGGUGAAGAAUACUGUUACACCGUGGUCGAUUUUCAGCAAAUAUUUUAGGUUCUAUAAUUAAAACAAUGAAUACAUUUAAAACCAUAUACAAUUAUUAUUUAUGAAACACUAGCAUUAAACAAAUAAUUAGUUUCAAUAUCAUAAAGACGUGUGCACUUAUUUGAGUUACACUAUUUCAAUAAUAAAAAACACAAUAAUUUACCUGAAAUUGUUGAUGACAUAGAAGUAUUUGAUGAUAAUUUAUGUGUCUGAGUACUAAUACGGCUAGUAGUUAAACCAACUAAAGAUGAUUUUGCAAUACCUGAUAAAAAUAAAAUAAUGUUUUUUCUAGCUACAUUAAUAUGAACAUAAAACCUUUUUACAAUUUUUAUUUUGUUUAAUAUAAAUAUAAUAAACUAAUUUAAUUAAUUUUUUUUAGAGGUAAUAGCCUUUAUAGCCUUUAAAGACUUCUUUCAAACAUAUUUAUUCCAUUUAUAGGAAGCUUCAUCACAUCUUCAUGGUAUCCCAGCUUCCAUCAGUCCUACAUCCCUUACUACACAAUCUUUCCAUCUUAGACGGGUCUAGUGGUUGAUUUCCUACUAGAUUCUCUGUGAUCACUAUUUUUCUUAUCAAUUCCUGCUCCACUACCUGUGUCUUAACAAAUCCAUUUUCCUCAUUUGUAUGCUUUAGUUAUACUAAGUGUUUAAUUAGAUUCUCGAGUUCAUAAUGUUUUUUCCUCUUUACAUUAGCUUGAGCAUCACUGCAUGGCCCAAAAAUCUUUUUAGGGAUUUUCCCUUCAACAACUUUCAAUCUAAUUUCAUCUGCCUUCCUGAACAGCCUUGUUUCUAAACCAUAUAACAUUACUGAGUACAUCAAAGUAAUUCAAAUCUGGAAUUAUAAAUUAUUGGAGAUUGCUUUUGAAUUUUAUACUUGGUUUCUUUAAUGUAGUCAUAUUUGUUUUUAUAUCAAGUAUAUGUAUACGAGAAUUCACAAAGAAUAAUCCUAUAUUUUAUAAUAAAACAAUAAACUAUUUAAAACAACAUAAAUAAAAAGUAUACCUGUUUUAUUUGUUUCUGUAAAUUUUAAUUUUCUAAUUUAAAUUUUAAAACUAUAUAAUAUUCUAAUUUGUUAUACACAUGUAUGUUAUAUGGUUGUUGAACAGUUGUAAACUUCUAAUAUCAACUCAUUACAAAAACUACAUUACACCAUAAAGAUUUUUUUUAAUAUAUACAUACAACUUAAAGAUAUUAGGUUAUUAUAAUUUUGUGACUUAUUAUAAUUAUAUACCCUUAUUGGUAAGUGAAGGUGCAACGCUAAAACUUUUAGCCAAUCGACGUUGCGAAGGCGGUGUAUGUGUUACUGCACUUGCUUCUUUUUUUUCCAAAGAGCUUCCUGAAGUCCAAGGUAAGACAUCAUCCCAAAUAAUAGUAGGAUGAGAAGCAAUGCCUAUUUUUAAAAUGUGCAUUUAUAUAUAUAUUUACAAAUUAAAUAGGUGCUAGUAUUAAUAGAUUUUUCUCAUCUCCCAGAAAAAGAAGAGUUUGAUUAAGAAAUAAAAUAAAGUAUAAUAAAUUCUUGCCUAAAAAUGCAUCUACAAGUGAUGCGAUCCCACGUAUAGCUACAUAAAAGUUGUAAGGUAAGACGUUUAAACAGGGGUGAACAGAUGGAUCUAUAAGUCUAUGAUUCGAGUCGGAGAGUGCUGCUUGAAGAAAUUUUGGAGUUCGACUAAUUGUCAUAGGCCGACUUAAAUCAACGGGAUUUCCAAUAGUUUGUAACAGUCGAAACCAACUUUGAGCAAUGGUAUGAUUAGACAUUCCGAGCGGUAUUAAGUGAGCAUCUUCGUUAGCUAAAUUAUAAAAUUGAUAUAAUUGAUAAAGGCUUUUAAAUAAAAAUGAAACAUAGUAUGUUUUAUGAGUAUACAAACGUAUUUUUAGCUGUGGAAAAUCUGGUCCAUACAUAAAUGUUAAUACACGGGCUGUAAGUGCUAAAUUUAUACGAUUCCAUUGAUGAAUUAAAGCUGUUCGAUGGCGCCAAGUAAUUGCCAUUUCUCGUAAUGUUUUCCAUAAAGAUGGCGAAGGAAAACAACGUACACAAGCUACAAGCCAUACUUCUAUGAGAACGCUAAGAACUCGUUCACAUAAUUCCUCUCCGACAUCCUCUGUUAAAUUCAUUAUAAAUAAUAAGUCUAAGAACUAUUUAUUACAUUGUAUAAUAAAACAAAUAAUGCCUUUAACUGUGGGUGGAGCUAAUAAAGCAUCAUUUAUUGCGAGAAGAAAUAGCAGUAAAGCUUCCCAAGUUUCUUGGUCAAUGAUUUUAGAUGUUCGAGAUAAAUCAUGUAAUGUCCGUAAAACACGAUGACACAAAACAGCUUGGCGGUUUAUUGUAUCAGUACCUUCACAAAAAUAAAUUAAAUAUUUUAAAAUAUUUUAAUAAUAAAAACUGUUAAUCUGAAAGUUUAUAAUUUAAAAAUAAAGACGUCUUGAAGAUUAAAUUAUUUUAAAUGAUGAAGAUAUGAGAUAUUAUCCACACAUUCAUUUUAUCUCUUUAAAAUAAAAAAAUCUCCAUAAGACAUUCUGUUAUGUAUGAAUAAUAAAUUUAACAAAAACAUCAUUAUUAUAUAUUUCAUUUGAUCCUUACCGAUAUUUAAAUAUAAAAAUGUCCAGACUUGUAACAAAGAUCAAAAUAAAUACACUAUUUUAUUCUAAGUAUUAUUGGUUAAAACAAUUAUUAUAAUAAUUAUAAUUAGAUGAAAACACCUGUAUUAAAUAUUAUAAUAAUCUUAAUGCAAUAAGACAAAUUGAUUCACCUUCACCUUUUCUGGGUACAAAUAAAUUAUAAAAAUGUGAAAUUAUUUUUCUAGCAUAUAAAUUUGGAUCAUUGCAAACCGGUUUUGGAACCGAUACUUUUGGUGUUUCAUAUAAGGCUGAAAGCCAAUCACAAUAAAUAUGUACGCAAUCUCUAAUUGUAUCAUGCUCAGACAAUGGCAAACUUAAACCAUAACAAAUAACCUAAAACAGAUAGGUAUACAGAUCAGUAUACAUAAAAAUAUUUUAUUUUCUGUUUUAAAAUUUACUAACUUCCAUGCACCAGGUCACUUCAUUGUCUCUAGAAAGUUUGCUUGGUUCAGGUGGAUGUGUUAUUCCUAAAUUUGAUGACAGUUGUUUAAUUACAGACAAUACAACUUCUUUGCAUGAACCAGCUGGAAACUUGUUCAAGACACUUUGACCAAAUUCACCACAGUUUUGAACUGUUGAACUUAGCGAUGCCCAUUCACAAUACAUACCUGAACGUCCUCCAGAGCCCUCCUAUAAAAUGGAAAAAUCUAUAAUUGCAUAGAUAUCGUUAAAAAAAAAAAAACAACACAGAGUUCAUUAAUUUGCAACCUGACUUAACCUAGUCUGUUAUUUUGUUUUAAAUAAAUAAAUGGGCCUUUACUACAAGAUGUAUGCAUGAAUCAAAUUAACAUACAACGGCAAACAACAGAUAAGUUUACAGUUAAAUUAUUACAUUGAAUUACAACAAAUUAUUAGUUAUUACAAUACUAUACUGAGUACUUAGUUGUAAGAAGAAGGGAUCCACAUUAGUGAGAGACAUAAAUCACCCAAGUAGUUAGAAGUAUAGCAAGGAAUAAGGAAGGGAACAGUAGUUCUCGUAGUUCGCAGAGUAAAAUUGUAGUUGACCAAUGCGACUGGGCUGGAGGAAUCAUUUUUAUUUUCCAAUAUUCCCUUUAAUAAGAACUCAUGGAAUGCUUACGCAAUACGCACUACAAAGGAAACUAGAUUGAGCAAAUAUUAACUGGAGCAUAAUCAUGAGGAUCGCAAGGUAUGUUCAAUAAAUGAUUUUAGAAUCUCAGGCAUUAGACCCUUUAAAUCUGACUAAAAUUAUCAACAGUAUAAGGUUUCCAGAGGACCACUCUAUUACAAAUGGGUUAUUUAUGUUAAUGGUAUUGCUUACUUGUCAAUUAAAAUCAUAUUUUAUAUUACUAGGUAUUAAGUUUAAAACUUAUUAACUGAACUAAUAGAUGAUACAAAAAAUAUUUCUAAAAACAAAUUACCUAUAAGAGUUCAAAAAGAAAAAAAAUGCUUUUAUACUCUUCUUACAAUUUUUUUGGUUUAGUAAGUUCACCAAACUGAAAAAUUAAAAAUUAAAUAUCUAAUAUACACCUUUAUGGUAGAUAAUAUGUCUGAGCUAUGUGUUUAUAAAUUACAAGACAUUUUUACAACUAAACAUUUUCUAAGAAAAUCUCAUUCCAAGUGUUACAAAUUGGUAAUUUAUGUAUUACGUAUUAUACUAUUAUUUAUAUAGAUAUUUAUAAAGAUAUCAUAUUCCAAUGUAUAUACUAACAUGUAAUUGUAAUGUUAUAAAUGGAUUAUGUUUAUUAAAUUUUGCAUACAUAUAUAAACAUAUAAUGCUAAAUUAGUUGUUGAGUUUAAUUAACUGUAUAGAUACACAAAUCAAAAUUCAUACCUUCCAGUUCACUCUGUUAAAUACUUCUAAAUUCAUAUGUCAAAAAUAUUGAACAUUGGUUACUCAAAUGUUUAUUAAAGUAUGUUAAACAUACUCUUCUGUCUGUAACUCUUGAAAACUGCAAUAAUUACAAAAAUACAAAAAUGAUAACAAUUAUUAAUUAUUUAAUUAUACAAGAUUAAUAGAAUAAUAACUAUAGGCGUUAAUCACAAACACAGUCAGACCGUGAUCACGAUUCACAAACGUCAAUUCGUUAUCAACAUGUUUGUGAAAAUAAUGAGAAAAAAAAAAUGAAAAUUUAACAUAAGUUAAUUACUAUGCAUAAUUCAU
rnacentral:lncRNA from 1 species